AGAUUAAUUAAGCUAAUCAAUCACAUAAUUUUCUCAUAAGCAUAUCCCAUAAAUUAAAGUAAAAUCUCAUCAAUUCCAACAGAUCUCACUUUUUAGCUUCGUGAUGGAUCCAUUUUGAUCCUGUGAUUCCUCUUCAACCUUUGUAGAGGAAUUAUUUAACUAUUUUCCUUGGCAUUUGAUCUCCAUUAUGCAUUUCAUUAAUUUAUAACUUUGGUUCAUAUUCAGUUCUUUCUCCCCUCUGUUAAUGCAGGCAUUCCAAAACACAGUCAAGU
rnacentral:misc_RNA from 1 species